UACGUAGGGUGCGAGCGUUGUCCGGAAUUAUUGGGCGUAAAGAGCUCGUAGGCGGUUUGUCGCGUCUGCUGUGAAAACCGGAGGCUCAACCUCCGGCCUGCAGUGGGUACGGGCAGACUAGAGUGCGGUAGGGGAGAUUGGAAUUCCUGGUGUAGCGGUGGAAUGCGCAGAUAUCAGGAGGAACACCGAGGGCGAAGGCAGAUCUCUGGGCCGUAACUGACGCUGAGGAGCGAAAGCAUGGGGAGCGAACCGG
rnacentral:rRNA from 1 species